GAUUCUGGCUCAGGAUGAACGCUAGCUACAGGCUUAACACAUGCAAGUCGAGGGGUAGCAGGGUAGCAAUACCGCUGACGACCGGCGCACGGGUGAGUAACACGUAUCCAACCUUCCCAUAACUCAGGGAUAGCCUUUCGAAAGAAAGAUUAAUACCUGAUAGUACUUUUUCAAGGCAUCUUGAGAAAGUUAAAGAUUUAUUGGUUAUGGAUGGGGAUGCGUUCCAUUAGAUAGUUGGUGAGGUAACGGCUCACCAAGUCUUCGAUGGAUAGGGGUUCUGAGAGGAAGGUCCCCCACAUUGGUACUGAGACACGGACCAAACUCCUACGGGAGGCAGCAGUGAGGAAUAUUGGUCAAUGGGCGAGAGCCUGAACCAGCCAAGUAGCGUGAAGGAUGAAGGUCCUAUGGAUUGUAAACUUCUUUUAUAGUAGAAUAAAGUGAUCCACGUGUGGAUUUUUGUAUGUAUACUAUGAAUAAGGAUCGGCUAACUCCGUGCCAGCAGCGGC
rnacentral:rRNA from 1 species